rnacentral:rRNA from 1 species
CUUACCAACUCUUGACAUCCCAUUGACCGCUUGAGAGAUCAAGUUUUCCCUUCGGGGACAAUGGUGACAGGUGGUGCAUGGUUGUCGUCAGCUCGUGUCGUGAGAUGUUGGGUUAAGUCCCGCAACGAGCGCAACCCCUAUCCUUAGUUGCCAGCAUUCAGUUGGGCACUCUAGGGAGACUGCCGGUGACAAACCGGAGGAAGGUGGGGAUGACGUCAAAUCAUCAUGCCCCUUAUGAGUUGGGCUACACACGUGCUACAAUGGACGGUACAAAGGGCAGCGAGACCGCGAGGUGGAGCCAAUCCCAUAAAGCCGUUCCCAGUUCGGAUUGCAGGCUGCAACUCGCCUGCAUGAAGUCGGAAUCGCUAGUAAUCGCAGGUCAGCAUACUGCGGUGAAUACGUUCCCGGGUCUUGUACACACCGCCCGUCACACCACGAGAGUUUGCAACACCCGAAGCCGGUGAGUAACCNACAAGGAGCCAGCCGUCGAAGU